UACGGUAGGGUGCAAGCGUUAAUCGGAAUUACUGGGCGUAAAGCGUGCGCAGGCGGUUUUGUAAAGUCUGUCGUGAAAGCCCCGGGCUCAACCUGGGAAUUGCGAAUGGAGACUGCAAGGCUUGAAUCUGGCAGAGGGGGGUAGAAAUUUCCACGUGUAGGCAGGUGAAAUGCGUAGAGAUGAUGGAGGAAACACCGAUGGCGAAGGCCAGCCCCCUGGGUCAAGAUUGACGCUCGAUGCACGAAAGCGUGGGGAGCAAACAGG
rnacentral:rRNA from 1 species